rnacentral:tRNA from 1 species
UCCCUGGUGGUCCAGCAGUUAAGACUCCACACUCUCACUGCUGAGGGCCCAAGUUCAAUCCCUGGUCAGGGAA